CAGCCGCCGCGGUAAUACGUAGGGUGCAAGCGUUAAUCGGAAUUACUGGGCGUAAAGCGUGCGCAGGCGGUUAUAUAAGACAGAUGUGAAAUCCCCGGGCUCAACCUGGGAACUGCAUUUGUGACUGUAUAGCUAGAGUACGGCAGAGGGGGAUGGAAUUCCGCGUGUAGCAGUGAAAUGCGUAGAUAUGCGGAGGAACACCGAUGGCGAAGGCAAUCCCCUGGGCCUGUACUGACGCUCAUGCACGAAAGAGUGGGGAGCAAACAGGAUUAGAUACCCGGGUAGUCCCUGUCUCUUAUAC
rnacentral:rRNA from 1 species